rnacentral:rRNA from 1 species
CGACUUAUCUGAACCUUCGGGGAACGUUAAGGGCGUCGAGCGGCGGACGGGUGAGUAAUGCCUAGGAAAUUGCCCUGAUGUGGGGGAUAACCAUUGGAAACGAUGGCUAAUACCGCAUGAUGCCUACGGGCCAAAGAGGGGGACCUUCGGGCCUCUCGCGUCAGGAUAUGCCUAGGUGGGAUUAGCUAGUUGGUGAGGUAAUGGCUCACCAAGGCGACGAUCCCUAGCUGGUCUGAGAGGAUGAUCAGCCACACUGGAACUGAGACACGGUCCAGACUCCUACGGGAGGCAGCAGUGGGGAAUAUUGCACAAUGGGCGCAAGCCUGAUGCAGCCAUGCCGCGUGUGUGAAGAAGGCCUUCGGGUUGUAAAGCACUUUCAGUCGUGAGGAAGGUGGUAGUGUUAAUAGCUGUAUCAUUUGACGUUAGCGACAGAAGAAGCACCGGCUAACUCCGUGCCAGCAGCCGCGGUAAUACGGAGGGUGCGAGCGUUAAUCGGAAUUACUGGGCGUAAAGCGCAUGCAGGUGGUUUGUUAAGUCAGAUGUGAAAGCCCGGGGCUCAACCUCGGAAUAGCAUUUGAAACUGGCAGACUAGAGUACUGUAGAGGGGGGUAGAAUUUCAGGUGUAGCGGUGAAAUGCGUAGAGAUCUGAAGGAAUACCGGUGGCGAAGGCGGCCCCCUGGACAG